rnacentral:rRNA from 1 species
ACCGGCCUACGGGGCGCAGCAGUGAGGAAUAUUGGUCAAUGGUCGGGAGACUGAACCAGCCAAGCCGCGUGAGGGAGGAAGGUACAGAGUAUCGUAAACCUCUUUUGUCAGGGAACAAAGGCGGGGACGUGUCCCCGGAUGAGUGUACCUGAAGGAAAAGCAUCGGCUCACUCCGUGCCAGCAGCCGCGGUAAUACGGAGGAUGCGAGCGUUAUCCGGAUUUAUUGGGUUUAAAGGGUGCGCAGGCGGUCUGUUAAGUCAGCGGUCAAAGCCCGGGGCUCAACCCCGGCCCGCCGUUGGAACUGG